rnacentral:rRNA from 1 species
AUUGAACGCUGGCGGCAGGCCUAACACAUGCAAGUCGAACGGUAACAGAAAGCAGCUUGCUGCUUUGCUGACGAGUGGCGGACGGGUGAGUAAUGUCUGGGAAACUGCCUGAUGGAGGGGGAUAACUACUGGAAACGGUAGCUAAUACCGCAUAACGUCGCAAGACCAAAGAGGGGGACCUUCGGGCCUCUUGCCAUCGGAUGUGCCCAGAUGGGAUUAGCUAGUAGGUGGGGUAAUGGCUCACCUAGGCGACGAUCCCUAGCUGGUCUGAGAGGAUGACAAGCCACACUGGAACUGAGACACGGUCCAGACUCCUACGGGAGGCAGCAGUGGGGAAUAUUGCACAAUGGGCGCAAGCCUGAUGCAGCCAUGCCGCGUGUAUGAAGAAGGCCUUCGGGUUGUAAAGUACUUUCAGCGAGGAGGAAGGUGUUGUGGUUAAUAACCACAGCAAUUGACGUUACUCGCAGAAGAAGCACCGGCUAACUCCGUGCCAGCCGCCGCCGUAA